rnacentral:lncRNA from 1 species
CUCUCCGCGGGCCUACCCCGCCCGUACGGUACAGCUGGCCCAGUGACGCGGACGCAGCCGCCGCCGCCGCAGCUACGACCGCCGCGUUCUAUUCUCCUCAGCCGGCGACAGCCUUGCCUCCUGCCUCCCGCCUCCUCCUCCUCCUCCCGCCGCGCCAGCCAGACCGGCACGCUGGGCCUCGCUUAGAACCCGGAGGGCUGCGGGCGCGCGCAGGCGGCGGAGCAGAUCCCGGCGCCGCGGAGGCUGCGAGCGCCCCCCUCCCGGAGGUCGCCGCGCUGUUCCCCGGUUGAACUUGCUCUACGUCCAAGUGGCAAAUGCAAAGCUAGACUCAGGGUGUAGCAGCUCUGUGUCAGCAGCUCCCUCUCUCCUCCUCUCUGCUGGAGCCACCGAGGCAGGCAGUGGGCAGACCCAGGGCAGUUUCUGAAAGUCCUGCUGUGCCUGACAGAUCUCCGGGUGAGCCAGAGCUUGUCUCCUUCUCCUAUCGCAAGGGUCUGGCUCCCCAAUGCUGAUGCUGAUGCCAGCUUGCUGCAUGCCUUGGCGUUUCCCCAGGGAGAAGUUGAAAAGCCACUUCUGAGCUUGUAUCUUCUCCUGGCAGCAGAAAUUCAGUUGCUAAAAUUCUUUCAACUUUGUGUGUGAUUAUGCCUUCCUCACCUAAUUGUGUAACUAACUUAUGGC